rnacentral:tRNA from 2 species
AAGAAAGUGGCAGAAUGGCUAUGCGAUUGGCUUGAAACCAAAUAAAGAAGGUUCAAUUCCUUCCUUUCUCG